GUAUACGGGGUUGUGGGAUCUCUCUUUCAUGGUCUGCCGGCCAUGAGACGAGUCAGAAACCGUUGAUGUAGGCGAAGGACAUGCGAAAGGUCCGGCGUAGAGGGUAAGACCCCCGUAGUCGAAACAUCAGCGGCUCGUUUGAGAGACACCCAAGUAGCACGGGGCCCGAGAAAUCCCGUGUGAAUCUGGCGGGACCACCCGCUAAGCCUAAAUAUUCCCUGGUGACCGAUAGCGGAUAGUACCGUGAGGGAAUGG
rnacentral:rRNA from 1 species